rnacentral:rRNA from 1 species
AUUGAACGCUGGCGGCAGGCCUAACACAUGCAAGUCGGGCGGAGCGGCGGACGGGUGAGUAAUGUAUGGGGAUCUGCCUGAUGGAGGGGGAUAACUACUGGAAACGGUAGCUAAUACCGCAUACUAUCAGAUGAACCCAUAUGGGUUUAGCUUGUAGGUGAGGUAAAGGCCUACCAAGGCGACGAUCCGUAACUGGUCAGAGAGGAUGAUCAGUCACACUGGAACUGAGAACCGGUCCAAACUCCUACGGGAGGCAGCAGUGGGGAAUAUUGGACGAUGGGCGAAGGCCUGAUCCGGCCAUGCCGCGUGUGUGAAGAAGGUCUUCGGAUUGUAAAGCACUUUAAGUUGGAAGGCGUUACCAACAGAAUAAGCACCGGCUAACUUCGUGCCAGCCGCCGCGGUAAUAC